GAGCGGGGCGGGAGUCCCCCUCAGCGAGAGGUGAUCCCCGAGCCCUGCUGGAGCCUCCAGCAGCCCCUCUGCAGGCGAGGGGUCCUGCCGGUUUGGACGGUGCCAAAUCACCAAGCUUUUGGCCAAAGCUGCCCCUUUCUGAAGAGCAAAACCACAGAACGGUUCAGUUCCCUUCCACUCAAAGACGCCCAGUAGCUGAAAAAGUAGAAACGCCUUAUUUCUAGGGUUAAAAAACAAGGUUUGAGAGAUGAGAUCCACAACUUUGAAUAUCUUGAAAGACAUUUCGUCCCAGCAUCACGUAGUGCAGAGAGACAGUAGGUUAAAGUGACUUCUGCCCCUGGCCAGCACAAAAAGCAGGAAUGGGAAGGUGCUGGUGCCAUGAGGCCUACAGGAUUGCCCUGAGUUCAUGCUGAAUUUGCUCUUACUGUGGUGUCAAGGAAUGCAAGAAGCUAUUUGAGUGUCACGCAAGCAGAGGAUAUUACCCUGAAGACUGAGCAGAGAUCUAGACUGUUGAAUCCAAGAUACAGGACACAUCCCACAGCACCGUGGGUCUGGAGCUAAACAGAGACAGGUAAAAUUGCCAAAUCAGAAAUGUGAUCCUGUAAGAUGUGCACGAGUCACCACGGUUGAAGUUCUUUUGACUGCAGAAUCAAAGCA